AUUGAACGCUGGCGGCAGGCUUAACACAUGCAAGUCGAGCGGGGUGAUGGUGCUUGCACUAUCACUUAGCGGCGGACGGGUGAGUAAUGCUUAGGAAUCUGCCUAUUAGUGGGGGACAACAUCUCGAAAGGGAUGCUAAUACCGCAUACGUCCUACGGGAGAAAGCAGGGGAUCACUUGUGACCUUGUGCUAAUAGAUGAGCCUAAGUCGGAUUAGCUAGUUGGUGGGGUAAAGGCCUACCAAGGCGACGAUCUGUAGCGGGUCUGAGAGGAUGAUCGGCCACACUGGGAAUCAGACCCGGACCAGACUCAUACGGGAGGCAGCAGUGGGGAAUAUUGGACAAUGGGGGGAACCCUGAUCCAGCCAUGCCGCGUGUGCGAAGAAGGCCUUAUGGUUGUAAAGCACUUUAAGCGAGGAGGAGGCUUACCUAGUUAAUACCUGGGAUAAGUGGACGUUACUCGCAGAAUAAGCACCGGCUAACUCUGUGCCAGCCGCCGCGGUAA
rnacentral:rRNA from 1 species